GAUGAACGCUAGCGGCAGGCUUAACACAUGCAAGUCGAGGGGCAGUCGCGGGUAGCAAUACCUGGCGGCGACCGGCGAAAAGGGUGAGUAACGCGUGAGCAACGUGCCCGUAGUGUGGGGAUAGUCAUUGGAAACGAUGCGUAAUACCCCGUAACACAUGUUCUGCAUGGGACGAUGUUGAAAGAUUCAUUGCAUACGGAUCGGCUCGCGUGCCAUUAGCUGGAUGGCGGGGUAACGGCCCACCAUGGCGACGAUGGCUAGGGGUUCUGAGAGGAAGGUCCCCCACAUUGGAACUGAGACACGGUCCAGACUCCUACGGGAGGCAGCAGUGAGGAAUAUUGGACAAUGGCCGGAAGGCUGAUCCAGCCAUGCCGCGUGCGGGAGGACGGCCCUAUGGGUUGUAAACCGCUUUUGCGAGGGAGCAAUAAGGUCUACGUGUAGACCGAUGAGAGUACCUUACGAAUAAGCAUCGGCUAACUCCGUGCC
rnacentral:rRNA from 1 species